rnacentral:rRNA from 1 species
CCGGGAGACAGUGUCAGGUGGGCAGUUUGACUGGGGCGGUCGCCUCCUAAAGUGUAACGGAGGCGCCCAAAGGUUCCCUCAGAAUGGUUGGAAAUCAUUCGUAGAGUGCAAAGGCAUAAGGGAGCUUGACUGCGAGACCUACAAGUCGAGCAGGGACGAAAGUCGGGCUUAGUGAUCCGGUGGUUCCGCAUGGAAGGGCCAUCGCUCAACGGAUAAAAGCUACCCCGGGGAUAACAGGCUUAUCUCCCCCAAGAGUCCACAUCGACGGGGAGGUUUGGCACCUCGAUGUCGGCUCAUCGC